UUAAGCGACUAAGCGUACACGGUGGAUGCCCUGGCAGUCAGAGGCGAUGAAGGACGUGCUAAUCUGCGAUAAGCGUCGGUAAGGUGAUAUGAACCGUUAUAACCGGCGAUUUCCGAAUGGGGAAACCCAGUGUGUUUCGACACACUAUCAUUAACUGAAUCCAUAGGUUAAUGAGGCGAACCGGGGGAACUGAAACAUCUAAGUACCCCGAGGAAAAGAAAUCAACCGAGAUUCCCCCAGUAGCGGCGAGCGAACGGGGAGCAGCCCAGAGUCUGAAUCAGUGUGUGUGUUAGUGGAAGCGUCUGGAAAGGCGCGCGAUACAGGGUGACAGCCCCGUACACAAAAAUGCACAUACUGUGAGCUCGAUGAGUAGGGCGGGACACGUGGUAUCCUGUCUGAAUAUGGGGGGACCAUCCUCCAAGGCUAAAUACUCCUGACUGACCGAUAGUGAACCAGUACCGUGAGGGAAAGGCGAAAAGAACCCCGGCGAGGGGAGUGAAAAAGAACCUGAAACCGUGUACGUACAAGCAGUGGGAGCCUCUUUUAUGGGGUGACUGCGUACCUUUUGUAUAAUGGGUCAGCGACUUAUAUUCUGUAGCAAGGUUAACCGAAUAGGGGAGCCGAAGGGAAACCGAGUCUUAACUGGGCGUUAAGUUGCAGGGUAUAGACCCGAAACCCGGUGAUCUAGCCAUGGGCAGGUUGAAGGUUGGGUAACACUAACUGGAGGACCGAACCGACUAAUGUUGAAAAAUUAGCGGAUGACUUGUGGCUGGGGGUGAAAGGCCAAUCAAACCGGGAGAUAGCUGGUUCUCCCCGAAAGCUAUUUAGGUAGCGCCUCGUGAAUUCAUCUCCGGGGGUAGAGCACUGUUUCGGCAAGGGGGUCAUCCCGACUUACCAACCCGAUGCAAACUGCGAAUACCGGAGAAUGUUAUCACGGGAGACACACGGCGGGUGCUAACGUCCGUCGUGAAGAGGGAAACAACCCAGACCGCCAGCUAAGGUCCCAAAGUCAUGGUUAAGUGGGAAACGAUGUGGGAAGGCCCAGACAGCCAGGAUGUUGGCUUAGAAGCAGCCAUCAUUUAAAGAAAGCGUAAUAGCUCACUGGUCGAGUCGGCCUGCGCGGAAGAUGUAACGGGGCUAAACCAUGCACCGAAGCUGCGGCAGCGACGCUUAUGCGUUGUUGGGUAGGGGAGCGUUCUGUAAGCCUGUGAAGGUGUGCUGUGAGGCAUGCUGGAGGUAUCAGAAGUGCGAAUGCUGACAUAAGUAACGAUAAAGCGGGUGAAAAGCCCGCUCGCCGGAAGACCAAGGGUUCCUGUCCAACGUUAAUCGGGGCAGGGUGAGUCGACCCCUAAGGCGAGGCCGAAAGGCGUAGUCGAUGGGAAACAGGUUAAUAUUCCUGUACUUGGUGUUACUGCGAAGGGGGGACGGAGAAGGCUAUGUUGGCCGGGCGACGGUUGUCCCGGUUUAAGCGUGUAGGCUGGUUUUCCAGGCAAAUCCGGAAAAUCAAGGCUGAGGCGUGAUGACGAGGCACUACGGUGCUGAAGCAACAAAUGCCCUGCUUCCAGGAAAAGCCUCUAAGCAUCAGGUAACAUCAAAUCGUACCCCAAACCGACACAGGUGGUCAGGUAGAGAAUACCAAGGCGCUUGAGAGAACUCGGGUGAAGGAACUAGGCAAAAUGGUGCCGUAACUUCGGGAGAAGGCACGCUGAUAUGUAGGUGAAGUCCCUUGCGGAUGGAGCUGAAAUCAGUCGAAGAUACCAGCUGGCUGCAACUGUUUAUUAAAAACACAGCACUGUGCAAACACGAAAGUGGACGUAUACGGUGUGACGCCUGCCCGGUGCCGGAAGGUUAAUUGAUGGGGUCAGCGCAAGCGAAGCUCUUGAUCGAAGCCCCGGUAAACGGCGGCCGUAACUAUAACGGUCCUAAGGUAGCGAAAUUCCUUGUCGGGUAAGUUCCGACCUGCACGAAUGGCGUAAUGAUGGCCAGGCUGUCUCCACCCGAGACUCAGUGAAAUUGAACUCGCUGUGAAGAUGCAGUGUACCCGCGGCAAGACGGAAAGACCCCGUGAACCUUUACUAUAGCUUGACACUGAACAUUGAGCCUUGAUGUGUAGGAUAGGUGGGAGGCUUUGAAGUGUGGACGCCAGUCUGCAUGGAGCCGACCUUGAAAUACCACCCUUUAAUGUUUGAUGUUCUAACGUGGACCCGUGAUCCGGGUUGCGGACAGUGUCUGGUGGGUAGUUUGACUGGGGCGGUCUCCUCCUAAAGAGUAACGGAGGAGCACGAAGGUUGGCUAAUCCUGGUCGGACAUCAGGAGGUUAGUGCAAUGGCAUAAGCCAGCUUGACUGCGAGCGUGACGGCGCGAGCAGGUGCGAAAGCAGGUCAUAGUGAUCCGGUGGUUCUGAAUGGAAGGGCCAUCGCUCAACGGAUAAAAGGUACUCCGGGGAUAACAGGCUGAUACCGCCCAAGAGUUCAUAUCGACGGCGGUGUUUGGCACCUCGAUGUCGGCUCAUCACAUCCUGGGGCUGAAGUAGGUCCCAAGGGUAUGGCUGUUCGCCAUUUAAAGUGGUACGCGAGCUGGGUUUAGAACGUCGUGAGACAGUUCGGUCCCUAUCUGCCGUGGGCGCUGGAGAACUGAGGGGGGCUGCUCCUAGUACGAGAGGACCGGAGUGGACGCAUCACUGGUGUUCGGGUUGUCAUGCCAAUGGCACUGCCCGGUAGCUAAAUGCGGAAGAGAUAAGUGCUGAAAGCAUCUAAGCACGAAACUUGCCCCGAGAUGAGUUCUCCCUGACUCCUUGAGAGUCCUGAAGGAACGUUGAAGACGACGACGUUGAUAGGCCGGGUGUGUAAGCGCAGCGAUGCGUUGAGCUAACCGGUACUAAUGAACCGUGAGGCUUAACCUU
rnacentral:rRNA from 1 species